rnacentral:rRNA from 1 species
CUCGUAGGCGGUUUGUCGCGUCGGGAGUGAAAACACUGGGCUUAACCGAGUGCUUGCUUUCGAUACGGGCAGACUUGAGGCAUUCAGGGGAGAACGGAAUUCCUGGUGUAGCGGUGAAAUGCGCAGAUAUCAGGAGGAACACCGGUGGCGAAGGCGGUUCUCUGGGAAUGUUCUGACGCUGAGGAGCGAAAGUGUGGGGAGCGAACA